rnacentral:lncRNA from 1 species
AAAUAAAAAAUAUAUAUAUAUAUAUAGAGUAGGACUAGAAUACUUGUAAAAGUAUCAUGGGGAUGAUACUUGUAUGUUUUUAACCCUUGGAUGGAGAGAUGUGAGGUUGAGAUGAUGGUGGUAGGUGGUGGUAGGUGGAAUAGUGUUUAAUCCAAAGACUAUUAAUAAUUAAAAAGUAGAUCCAAUGACUUAAAACCUAAUAGCACCAUGAUGGUGAUACUUGUAAAAAUAUCAUAGCUCAACUCUAUAUAUAUAUAUAUAUAUAGAGAGAGAGAGAGAGAGAGAGAUAUAGAGAGA